rnacentral:rRNA from 1 species
GAUGAACGCUGGCGGCGUGCCUAGUACAUGCAAGUCGAGCGAACAGACGAGGAGCUUGCUCCUCUGACGUUAGCGGCGGACGGGUGAGUAACACGUGGAUAACCUACCUAUAAGACUGGGAUAACUUCGGGAAACCGGAGCUAAUACCGGAUAAUAUAUUGAACCGCAUGGUUCAAUAGUGAAAGACGGUUUUGCUGUCACUUAUAGAUGGAUCCGCGCCGCAUUAGCUAGUUGGUAAGGUAACGGCUUACCAAGGCGACGAUGCGUAGCCGACCUGAGAGGGUGAUCGGCCACACUGGAACUGAGACACGGUCCAGACUCCUACGGGAGGCAGCAGUAGGGAAUCUUCCGCAAUGGGCGAAAGCCCGACGGAGCAACGCCGCGUGAGUGAUGAAGGUCUUCGGAUCGUAAAACUCUGUUAUUAGGGAAGAACAAAUGUGUAAGUAACUAUGCACGUCUUGACGGUACCUAAUCAGAAAGCCACGGCUAACUACGUG